AAGGGAGACCUAAUUCAGGUAGGAGACGAAAAAAAAGUAGUCGCUACCAAGAAUCAAUCCCAAAAGGUCGGAGCGAGGCGAAAUUGGCUUUCAAACUAGGUUCUGGGUUUACACAAGACCUGAAUCAGGAACAAGGGCUAUUAGCUCAGGUGGUUAGAGCGCACCCCUGAUAAGGGUGAGGUCCCUGGUUCGAGUCCAGGAUGGCCCACCUGUACAGGUGGCAAAAAGAAAGAAAAGAAGCGAGGAAUCAGCACCUUAUCUUACUGACAUAGUAAGAGAGAAUGCUGGCUCUGAGUAAAGAGUCCAGAGGAACCUUGAAAACUGCAUAGAGCUAGGUGAAAAAGCCAAAAAAGAAGACCGCAA
rnacentral:tRNA from 1 species